CUGCGUGCGCGUGCUAUACAUGCAAGUCGAGCGGACAGAAGGGAGCUUGCUCCCGGAUGUUAGCGGCGGACGGGUGAGUAACACGUGGGUAACCUGCCUGUAAGACUGGGAUAACUCCGGGAAACCGGAGCUAAUACCGGAUAGUUCCUUGAACCGCAUGGUUCAAGGAUGAAAGACGGUUUCGGCUGUCACUUACAGAUGGACCCGCGGCGCAUUAGCUAGUUGGUGGGGUAAUGGCUCACCAAGGCGACGAUGCGUAGCCGACCUGAGAGGGUGAUCGGCCACACUGGGACUGAGACACGGCCCAGACUCCUACGGGAGGCAGCAGUAGGGAAUCUUCCGCAAUGGACGAAAGUCUGACGGAGCAACGCCGCGUGAGUGAUGAAGGUUUUCGGAUCGUAAAGCUCUGUUGUUAGGGAAGAACAAGUGCGAGAGUAACUGCUCGCACCUUGACGGUACCUAACCAGAAAGCCACGGCUAACUACGUGCCAGCAGCCGCGGUAAUACGUAGGUGGCAAGCGUUGUCCGGAAUUAUUGGGCGUAAAGGGCUCGCAGGCGGUUUCUUAAGUCUGAUGUGAAAGCCCCCGGCUCAACCGGGGAGGGUCAUUGGAAACUGGGAAACUUGAGUGCAGAAGAGGAGAGUGGAAUUCCACGUGUAGCGGUGAAAUGCGUAGAGAUGUGGAGGAACACCAGUGGCGAAGGCGACUCUCUGGUCUGUAACUGACGCUGAGGAGCGAAAGCGUGGGGAGCGAACAGGAUUAGAUACCCUGGUAGUCCACGCCGUAAACGAUGAGUGCUAAGUGUUAGGGGGUUUCCGCCCCCUAUGCUGCCGCUAACGCAUUC
rnacentral:rRNA from 2 species